UACGAAGGGUGCAAACGUUGCUCGGAAUUAUUGGGCGUAAAGCGCACGUAGGCGGCUUAGCAAGUCGGAUGUGAAAUCCCUCGGCUCAACCAAGGAAGUGCAUCCGAAACUGCUGAGCUUGAGUACGAAGGAGGAUCGCGGAAUUCCCGGUGUAGAGGUGAAAUUCGUAGAUAUCGGGAGGAACACCAGUGGCGAAGGCGGCGAUCUGGGUCGAUACUGACGCUGAGGUGCGAAAGCGUGGGGAGCAAACAGG
rnacentral:rRNA from 1 species